AUGAUUUCAUGGUAAGAGCUGCUCAGCCAUUUAAAACCAGAUAUGAACUAAUCCUGAAAAGUAGCAAAACAACAGAGAACAAAGCAAAAGGCAGAAAAAAUCCAGAAUGAAAAAAAGAGAAAGGGUAUUGUGUGUCUGUUUGCAUGGGUGUGUGUUUGUGUGUUUGUUGCCAGACGCGUGCCGCGGUGCUUGCGAGGUCAGCUGAGGGGGAAAAAGCGGAUUCUUUCGACUAAGUCUUCAAUUUGAUUAGCAGUAAAGCAGCGCUUUGCUGUGGGGUAGCCUUCACGUGACAUGCACACACAUUGCAGUCGGUUUAAACAGGUGCUAAUUAGGCUUAAAGUCCAGACCUGUGGAUGUUUUGGUAAUUAGUCGCCUGCCUGCUCUGUUUCCCAUAUCUCUGCCAUCACCUCUUCCUUCAUACAACUGAAGAAAUCUUAGAAAUGCAAUGCUCUUAGCAGCGGCUGGUACCGAUGACUGUUCUCUCUCUAACAAGCACACAUACGCAUACAGGGAGGUCAAAGGGGAUUGCACUAAUGCUGUUCUGCAGUACUUAUGACUCAGUAUACUCUGAGAAUCAGCAAGCUGGUUAAAACCAGGCAACAAAUGGUCCUUAAAGGCAGUGCUCUGCAGCGCACCAGUACUGUUUAAGGGAAAAUAUUUUUUUCCUCAAUUUGCAAAGGCUUCCUUCCACACCAGAGCAUUUUACUCAAAUGCUCAUGCAUGCAUUUGGACCAGCUCCCUGCAGACCAGCAUACAGUCCAGCUACCGUGAGGACGUAACACAGACCACUGUUCCAUGUCACAAUGCCACACUAAUCAGUCAUCUGGGUAGAGUGGGAGCCAAACACAUGGAUCUCUGCCUCUGUUUUACCACAGGUUUGCUGAAGUUUCUCUAGUUGUUGUUCCUGAAGGGUAUGUACAGUGUCCUGGUCCCUCAGUCCUCCUUUCCUGCCUGCUCCAGGCUUUGCCUUCUCUCUGUCCUUCACUCUCUCCUCUCUCUGUGCUUGUGUGUCUGUGUCAGUGUUCACGGGAAGGACUCAUUGCGGGUUCCCGCCUCUGGCUGAACACACCUGCUACAAUCAAUCACCUGUUCUCGAUGAUCUCGUUAAGAAGCACUAUUUAAGAGGGCGGCUGAGGUUCAUUCUUCUCUGGAUCGUUGAACUGUGCUAGCUUCCCUGGAUUUUCCCCGUCCUGGAGUUCUUGGAGAGACUGCCUGAGCUGAGUCAGUGUGGAUCCCCUGUUCCCCCCUUCGUACUACCUGUAUAUAUCACCCUGGUGUUUCACUGUAAAU